UCAAAUGAUAUCAUGAGAUCUUGGACAGUGUGAUCCUAGUCCAGUGCAGGAUCCUAUUUCAGUCCGGAAGCAGGCAUCAUCCCUGGUUUCAUGAAGAACCACACAACCCAGAAGCAGGAGUCCCCAUUUCCCCCAGGAGUGUUCCGAGAACCCUGAAGCAUCCCCAAGGAUCUAGUGCUGUCGACUCCACUCCAAAGCCCAACUUGUGCCUUCCAAAGAUCACACGGGAAAGAAAAAGAAAGAGAGGCAAUUUCUUUGAGGAGGAAAAGAAGUUGAGUUUGGCAAUAAGAAAAAGCAGAAUCCAGCCUGUUGAGAAUCCAGGAAGCCUGCUCAUGGGUCUUGCAGCGUCUUACCGCGAGCAUUCACCACCAGAUGGCAGCAUCGGCCCACCGAUGCUACAACCAGCCACGUCGGGACAAACAGGUUGAGGAUAAGGGGCUAAUUCCAAGAGCAUCUCCCGAUGAGCGCCAGCCCUUUGCACCCUCCAGAAGUACACACGCUUCUGCCUUCAUCACUGAGAGGCCCUGUUACCUAUAUAUAGGUAUUGCACGUGUGUGUGUGUGUGUGUGACGCGUUCAAUCCAGGACUUCUUGCAUGCUAGGCAAGAGCUCUCCUGCUGAGCUACCCCAGUGCCAGAUGUGGCUCUUUUAAACCCCACCUUACACAAGACCCCUGCACUACCAACUCUGAAGAUUCAGAGGGAUCUUGCCUUCGUUCCUUAUUUCCUACGUUAAACACAAGUCACUAGGGAUGUUGCUCAUUAAAUUACAGGUUGGGUGGCAGGAUCUACCCACGUCCACUGCAAUGCGCUGGCAAAGUUGUACCCCACACAUCCAGGACCUGGAGGAAACUACAAAGAGGGCAGAGCAGGUGCUGGCAGGGCCAGGAGCUGCGACGGAAAUUGACUCUUCUCCUCACUUCUUCAUUCAGUGUAGUCACUUCUCCAUUCUCAUACAACUACUAGUGGUAGAAAAGACACAUUAGUCCAAAUUUCUUUAAUUCUACACCCAUUCUUUGUCUCAGCAUUUCCUACAGUACUGGGAAAACAAGACUAUUCAGUUCUCUGAAUUCAACUGCAAUUGUUUUCCUUCUACAAAUAGGAUCCAGUCUAAUUAAAGAAGCUUGUCAAGUGCUGUGUAGAAAAUUUCCCACAAAAGACAAUCCCUAGUUAAACAGAAUGGAGUGAAAUUCUAGGCAACAUGAAGUGUCACAAGUUCUGCCCAAGAAGCCAGAUUGCCAUCAUCACAACAGCAUUUCAAAUGCCUCGCACCACCUACAUUUUUUAAAGUUUCAUGAAAAUAGCUUAUUUGUUCUUAAAAGGAUUAAUCAAUAAAAAUGAAUUGUGCAUUCUUAGUUUCAAAGAAGUCUGACCCAGAAUUCUCUCUUCAUGUAUGUUACUGAUGGCCACAGGGCUGUUAUAAUCAACAAAUUUGGAUGUGCUUAAUUUGCAUUAAGAAAAGAACAAAGUUCUAAAGGAUGGAAGUGAUCAUCUCACCCCGCUCCCCUGAUGGUGCUAGAUUCUUAUUAUGACAUUUUAAGAUACAUUUUCUGCUUAUGGGUCUGGGUUUUGUCAAUCAGAGAAGAGAGGUCAGUACGACCCCGUAUUCAAGGUCAGAUACGCCCAGAGUCUUCAGCUGUGAUUCUUUCCCUCUGCUAAAAGAGAGGUGAUUAAAGGAGAGCAAGAACCUGCAGGGGAUUUUUUUCUUUCUAGCUCUAGUAGUCAGAUGUAGCCUUAGAAACAAAAACUAGCCUUAGUGCACAGGUAGUUUAUUCCACGAUAAGGAAAAGCUUUGUCCCACCAGCACUGACCCACAAUGGAAUAGGUGGAGAACAUCAAUAAAUCUUCGAUGACCUGUAAAGCUCUGUCCAGACUUCCCGAUCCAUAAGCAGAAAAAUUCUUCCAUAGAUGUCACAGGCUGUGCCAGAUUCUGAGUGUUCAAUGACUGCAGCUUACGAUGGGCUCUGUCUGGGCCUGCUCAGGACUUCACAGGGAAAACCGACCAGGGAAACUAGGAAAUUACAUUUAAUUUACAUUAUAAAGUUUAAAACAUACUAUAAUGCGUGAGUGACGGAAUCCAUCAAAAAGUCACUUACACCAUCUCUGGGUAGUCAGGGACUUUCUGAAAUAAGGUUAUCUCAUAUGAGACCUCAAUAGUGAAUAGGAGUUAAUUGAAUAAAGAAGGCAGGGGAAAGAUGAUAUCUCCUCUGAGAACUUUUCCUUCCUAAACAGUUUCCCAUGAUCUCCUUUAGACACAUGACCUUCACAAACACUAAUAAAAAUAAGCUGUUGUUAUUGGUUA